GAUGAACGCUGGCGGCGUGCCUAAUACAUGCAAGUCGAGCGAACAGACAAAGAGCUUUCUCCUUUUCCGUUAGCGGCCGACGGGGGAGUAACACGUGGAUAACCUACCUAUAAGACUGGGAUAACCUCGGGAAACCGGAGCUAAUACCGGAUAACAUGUUGAUCCGCAUUGAUCAACAGUGAAAAACGGCCUCGCCGUCACUUAGAGAUGGAUCCGCGCUGCAUUAGCUAGUUGGUAGGGUAAAGGCUUACCAAGGCAACGAUGCGUAGCCGAGCUGAGAGAGUGAUCGGCCACACUGGAACUGAGACACGGCCCAAACUCCUACGGGAGGCAGCAGUAGGGAAUCUUCCACAAUGGGCGAAAGCCUGAUGGAGCAACGCCGCGUGAGUGAUGAAGGCUUUCGGAUCGUAAAGCACUGUUGUAAGGGAAGAACAGCUAGAAUAGGAAAUGAGUUUAUCUUGACGGUACCUAACCAGAAAGCGACGGCUAACUACGUG
rnacentral:rRNA from 1 species